rnacentral:rRNA from 1 species
AGCGAACGCUGGCGGCAUGCUUAACACAUACAAGUCGCGCGGGUGGUUUCGGCCAUCAGCGGCGGACGGGUGAGUAUCGCGUAGGAAUGUAUCCCGAGGUGGGGGACAACCCUGGGAAACUGGGGCUAAUACCGCAUGGGGCCUGUGGGUCAAAGCCUUAGGGCGCCUUGGGAGCAGCCUGCGUCCGAUUAGGUAGUUGGUGGGGUAAAGGCCUACCAAGCCUGCGAUCGGUAGCUGGUCUGAGAGGACGGUCAGCCACACUGGGACUGAGACACGGCCCAGACUCCUACGGGAGGCAGCAGUGGGGAAUAUUGGACAAUGGGCGCAAGCCUGAUCCAGCAAUGCCGCGUGGGUGAAGAAGGUCUUCGGAUUGUAAAGCCCUUUCGGCGGGGACGAUGAUGACGGUACCCGCAGAAGAAGCCCCGGCUAACUUCGUG